rnacentral:rRNA from 1 species
GACGAACGCUGGCGGCGUGCCUAAUACAUGCAAGUAGAACGCUGAAGAGAGGAGCUUGCUCUUCUUGGAUGAGUUGCGAACGGGUGAGUAACGCGUAGGUAACCUGCCUUGUAGCGGGGGAUAACUAUUGGAAACGAUAGCUAAUACCGCAUAACAAUGGAUGACACAUGCCAUUUAUUUGAAAGGGGCAAUUGCUCCACUACAAGAUGGACCUGCGUUGUAUUAGCUAGUAGGUGAGGUAAUGGCUCACCUAGGCGACGAUACAUAGCCGACCUGAGAGGGUGAUCGGCCACACUGGGACUGAGACACGGCCCAGACUCCUACGGGAGCAGCAGUAGGGAAUCUUGCACAAUGGGGAAACCUGAUGCAGCGACGCCGCGUGAAGGAAGAAGUAUUUCGGUAUGUAAACUUCUAUCAGCAGGGAA